rnacentral:lncRNA from 1 species
UUUUGUUUAUUUUGUGUUUGUUGUACAAAUGCAGCUUCAGUCAAACCUCUCCCCCCGUCUUGUCUUUCAGGCAUGACACGAGCAAAGGAACAGCAUCCCUGUCCCAUUUGCAGGAACACAUAUUCGAGCAUCGGACACCAUCUAAAAAGGGCACAUAAAAUUGAAAAUAGAGAGGAAAGAAGAAUUCUAACCUGCAUGGCUAGUGGUCGCAUUGGUGUCAGGUGUGAGCCCUGUCCUGUCUGUGGACGUAAAGGCACCAGACUUGAUAGACACCUAAAAAAUAACCACAAAUUGUCAGCGCCACAGGUACAGGUUCACUUGCAGACAGCAAAAAACCAAUGUGCAAACGCUCUUCUGGCGAACCUGCGAGCCAGUGGUCCUGCAGCUCCUGCGGCGACUUUUUCUGACCCUCCGGCUGAACCACACAAUUCCCCUGCGACAUGUCGGAAUCCAGGCUGUCUUCGUUCCCUGCAAUGUUGGAAAAGCAGAUGCUUAAAGCUGCAGCACAACGUUCACAAGUUACAGGGGGAGCUUGUCAGAUUGAGGGCCCAAGUCCAUGAGAAAAACCUAAAGCACUUUAGGAAGAGCAAGCGCUUAGCAGCUCAGGGCCCGCUGGUACCAGUCAGGGAUGAGGAGGCUACAGGAGCUGGAGCAGCAGCAGCAGCAGCAGCAGCAGCAGGAGAAGCAGGAGAUUUGUCUGAGGGGGGUGGCAGGGAAGGACCAGAAAGACAUCAGGAGCAAGAUGGAGGGGGUAGCACAUCAUCUCGUCUAAUAGAGAAUGCUACUGUAAGUAUCGAUGCACAAAAUUUGUGUGCUAAUCUCCACUGUCAGUUUUAAGUUGCUAAAUACAUUGGCAUUGACGUUUUCCUGGAAUAAUGCUUGUUGGUUUUAUUUGUUUUUUUUUAACAUAGCUCUAUGGCACUGUGGUCUGUAAAAAAUGACCAUAUUCAUCUCUGUCUUUGCAGUUAAGAGCAAAACAGCGGCCAGCAGAGACUCUGAGGUACCAAGUGAAGGAACCUUCAGUAUUGGUGCGAAAACUGUUUAGCAGCAGAGGACGUGCAUCAGGCUCGGGAAAGCUCCUUUUCCAACCAUCAAUUGGUAGUUUGUGUGUAUGUACAUAACUGGGUUUUGUUUUUGUCUUCGUUUAUGUAAUGAAAAACUAUCUCUUGUUUUCACAGAGCAAUACUUGACUGUUUACAAAAAUAAACUAGAAGGAGAGCAGCCUUCA